rnacentral:misc_RNA from 1 species
AAGUCGUAACAAGGUUUCCGUAGGUGAACCUGCGGAAGGAUCAUUAACACAAGUAAAAAAACAUUUUACAACACCCUAUUAUGAAUUUAAAUUUUUUAAUUUUAAUUUUAAUUUUUUUAUAAAACUACAAAAAAAAUAUUUAAUUUAUUUGACUAACAUUUUUUUUAAUUAAUUUAUUUAAAAUUUUAUAAAACAACUCUUAACAACGGAUAUCUUGGCUCUC